GAUGAACGCUGGCGGCGUGCUUAACACAUGCAAGUCGAACGAUGAAGCCCAGCUUGCUGGGUGGAUUAGUGGCGAACGGGUGAGUAACACGUGAGUAACCUGCCCUUAACUCUGGGAUAAGCCUGGGAAACUGGGUCUAAUACCGGAUAGGAGCGCCUACCGCAUGGUGGGUGUUGGAAAGAUUUAUCGGUUUUGGAUGGACUCGCGGCCUAUCAGCUUGUUGGUGAGGUAAUGGCUCACCAAGGCGACGACGGGUAGCCGGCCUGAGAGGGUGACCGGCCACACUGGGACUGAGACACGGCCCAGACUCCUACGGGAGGCAGCAGUGGGGAAUAUUGCACAAUAGGCGAAAGCCUGAUGCAGCGACGCCGCGUGAGGGAUGACGGCCUUCGGGUUGUAAACCUCUUUCAGUAGGGAAGAAGCGAAAGUGACGGUACCUGCAGAAGAAGCACCGGCUAACUACGUG
rnacentral:rRNA from 1 species